GACGAACGCUGGCGGCGUGCUUAACACAUGCAAGUCGAACGAUGAAGGAGAGAGCUUGCUCUUUUUGGAUUAGUGGCGAACGGGUGAGUAACACGUGAGUAAUCUGCCCCGGACUCUGGGAUAAGCGUUGGAAACGACGUCUAAUACCGGAUAUGAAGCGUGGAGGCAUCUUCUGCGUUUGGAAAGAUUUUUUGGUUUGGGAUGAGCUCGCGGCCUAUCAGCUUGUUGGUGAGGUAAUGGCUUACCAAGGCGACGACGGGUAGCCGGCCUGAGAGGGUGACCGGCCACACUGGGACUGAGACACGGCCCAGACUCCUACGGGAGGCAGCAGUGGGGAAUCUUAGACAAUGGGGGCAACCCUGAUCUAGCCAUGCCGCGUGAGUGAUGAAGGCCUUAGGGUUGUAAAGCUCUUUCAGUAGGGAAGAAGCGUAAGUGACGGUACCUGCAGAAAAAGCACCGGCUAACUACGUGCCAGCAGCCGCCGUAACAC
rnacentral:rRNA from 1 species